AUCCUUUUGUAGUUCAUAAGCGUGAUGAUUGGGUUUUCACGCGCAUGCGUGAGAUGUGUCUCCCUCAAACCUUGUUACGACGUCGGCACAUUACCCGUCUGACG
rnacentral:snoRNA from 1 species